rnacentral:rRNA from 1 species
UACGGAGGGGGUUAGCGUUGUUCGGAAUUACUGGGCGUAAAGCGCGCGUAGGCGGACUAUUAAGUCAGAGGUGAAAUCCCGGGGCUCAACCCCGGAACUGCCUUUGAUACUGGUAGUCUUGAGUUCGAGAGAGGUAAGUGGAAUUCCGAGUGUAGAGGUGAAAUUCGUAGAUAUUACGGAGGAACACCAGUGGCGAAGGCGGACUUACUGGCUCGAUCACGACGCUGAGGUGCGAAAGUGUGGGGAGCAAAACAGGAUUGAGAUACCCGGGUACG